CUGGGGAAGACGGUCAUGAUCAGGCCAUGUCUCAACUCACCAGAGUGUUUGCAGCUAAUUUUUCCUUCAAGGAAAGCAGAUAGCAGGCUGGAUUUGUUGGACUUGCUUUAGCUGUUCCGUAGGAAGAGGGCUUAAUACCAGUCAAUCAGUGUGGUACAUGGGGGACCAAAUUAAGGCUACCCAGGACCCUAAGUCCCACUACUUGCCAGGAGCUGAGCCAUCUGCUGUGCAGUCCUUUUGCCCCACAUCCCUCACUGCAAGAGUGCCUGCUUGAGUCUCUCAUCAAGCCUUGGAGAUGACAUGCCACUGAGCACUGAAGAAGACUGAAUGCUAACACGACUUUGAUGGGGUUUACCCUCAUCUGACCUUUCUUGAAAUCCAAAUACCCUUCAUCACAGUGAGCACACCUUCUUCUGGGCUGUUUGUUCCUGCUAAACACAGAACGAAUUCUCAUCAAUGCUGCAAUAUGUA